AACAAACGCUGGCGGCGUGCCUAAUACAUGCAAGUCGAACGGGGAAAGCUUUCGGGUGAGUACUAGUGGCGCACGGGUGAGGAACGCGUGGAUAAUCUGCCUUAGAGUGGGGGAUAACUAGUCGAAAGAUUAGCUAAUACCGCAUAAGACCACGAGAGCUGCGGCUUUUGAGGUCAAAGGUUUUUCGCUCUAAGAUGAGUCCGCGUAAGAUUAGCUAGUUGGUGAGGUAACGGCUCACCAAGGCGACGAUCUUUAACUGGUCUGAGAGGAUGAUCUGUCACACUGGAACUGAGACACGGUCCAGACUCCUACGGGAGGCAGCAGUAGGGAAUAUUGCACAAUGGAGGAAACUCUGAUGCAGCGACGCCGCGUGAGUGAUGAAGGCCUUCGGGUCGUAAAGCUCUGUCGCAGGGGAAUAACACAAUGAAGGUACCCUGUAAGAAAGGAUCGGCUAACUUCGUG
rnacentral:rRNA from 1 species